rnacentral:rRNA from 1 species
AUGAACGCUGGCGGCGUGCUUAACACAUGCAAGUCGAACAGAAAGGCUCCUGCUUGCAGGGGUACUCGAGUGGCGAACGGGUGAGUAACACGUGGGUGAUCUGCCCUGCACUUCGGGAUAAGCCUGGGAAACUGGGUCUAAUACCGGAUAGGACGAUGGUUUGGAUGCCAUUGUGGAAAGUUUUUUCGGUGUGGGAUGAGCUCGCGGCCUAUCAGCUUGUUGGUGGGGUAAUGGCCUACCAAGGCGUCGACGGGUAGCCGGCCUGAGAGGGUGUACGGCCACAUUGGGACUGAGAUACGGCCCAGACUCCUACGGGAGGCAGCAGUGGGGAAUAUUGCACAAUGGGCGCAAGCCUGAUGCAGCGACGCCGCGUGGGGGAUGACGGCCUUCGGGUUGUAAACUCCUUUCGCUAGGGACGAAGCGCAAGUGACGGUACCUGGAGAAGAAGCACCGGCUAACUACGUG